CCUACGGGGGGCUGCAGUGGGGAAUAUUGGACAAUGGGGGGAACCCUGAUCCAGCCAUGCCGCGUGUGUGAAGAAGGCCCUCGGGUUGUAAAGCACUUUCAGUGAGGAAGAACGCCUGGUGGUUAAUACCCAUCAGGAAAGACAUCACUCACAGAAGAAGCACCGUCUAACUCCGUGCCAGCAGCCGCGGUAAUACGGAGGGUGCGAGCGUUAAUCGGAAUUACUGGGCGUAAAGCGCGCGUAGGUGGCUUGAUAAGCCGGUUGUGAAAGCCCCGGGCUCAACCUGGGAACGGCAUCCGGAACUGUCAAGCUAGAGGGCAGGAGAGGAAGGUAGAAUUCCCGGUGUAGCGGUGAAAUGCGUAGAGAUCGGGAGGAAUACCAGUGGCGAAGGCGGCCUUCUGGACUGACACUGACACUGAGGUGCGAAAGCGUGGGUAGCAAACAGGAUUAGAUACCCCGGUAGUC
rnacentral:rRNA from 1 species